AUAAUCCAUUUUAAAUAUAUUUUGUUGCAUAAUAAGAUUUAAUUGUAUUAAUUAAGAAUAAUAUUAUUUAAUUAUAUUACGGAAAUCGUGUAAUUAUUCGACAAUGUGGAAUUUAUUAUGGUCUAAUCUCACGAUUUGUGUUGUAAAAACAAAUAUUGUAAUGUAGUAUUUAAAAAACCUAAUGAAAAAAGAAAAUUCAUCAACCGAAGCACAUAAAAAAAUUCAUCCAAUAUGCCUGUCACUGCACACUAUCAACGUAUACAGAUAGCCUUAAGAUGUUAUGCAGAAGUACGACUAUUAACUUUAAGGCUAUUCUAUUCUAACAUCUUUAAAC